rnacentral:misc_RNA from 1 species
AUUUAAUUGAUCACAAAACUUUUUGAAGCAGACUUGUUCGCUACUUGGUGGACGAUAUCGUCCACCAAGUACGAGUACAGAGUUCCUAAUCUCUUACUUAAAUAUCAGCACACGUGGCUUACGUAUCACGUAACGGACUAGGCAAAAAUAAGAAUCUUAAAGCUUAUGCAAAUACCAAUGUGAUAAAAUAAUGUGUGUGACUCUCUCAGUUUUUGGCAAAAAUUAAGGUAGAAAUUAUUAAAAAAAUUAUUUUAAACAAUAAUGCCAGGACUAACAACAAAGGCAAAUUCCAGAUUAGCCCCAGGUCUCGCCGACUACUGUAUGAUGCUCCGACGAAGGCAGAUUUUAGGUGUAAGUGUUCGUAGAAGUGCUACGGUACUAGGGGAUUUUAGAGUGAAAGGAAAUUAUCAGAGUGUAGACGAAGUGGGAAAAAUAAACAAAUACAUUUGAUUCGAAAUCGGCGCACGAUAGAAAGAGAAAGGAGUAGGAAGUGGCAGUCUCAGUGGCAGUGGAGGCAACCCACUCCAUCCCUAUUGCUCACUUCACUUCAGUUUAUCGCAGUUCUCAUUCAGCCUCCGCUAGUGAUUUAAUACAGAUCAUCCAGUAGGCAAAAAGACGAUCCACACUGAGUAUCCCGAAACACGGUAUCUACUCUGGAAUAAGAUUACUCCAACGUCUCUAACCCAAUGUCCAUCAGUCUUACUACAAAUAUGACCAAUCAAAAACUUUACUUUGCUUAUUCUACAGUCUAUGUCGGUUAUAUUCAUUCUGUCGGGAUAAUCUCAUUUUUGAGCGUAGCCCGUUGAGC